GACGAACGCUGGCGGCGUGCUUAACACAUGCAAGUCGAACGGUAAGGCCCUUCGGGGUACACGAGUGGCGAACGGGUGAGUAACACGUGGGUGAUCUGCCCUGCACUUCGGGAUAAGCCUGGGAAACUGGGUCUAAUACCGGAUAGGACCACUGCCUGCAUGGGUGGUGGUGGAAAGCUUUUGCGGUGUGGGAUGGGCCCGCGGCCUAUCAGCUUGUUGGUGGGGUGAUGGCCUACCAAGGCGACGACGGGUAGCCGGCCUGAGAGGGUGACCGGCGACGCUGGGACUGAGAAGCGGCCCAGACUCCUACGGGAGGCAGCAGUGGGGAAUAUUGCACAAUGGGCGCAAGCCUGAUGCAGCGACGCCGCGUGAGGGAUGACGGCCUUCGGGUUGUAAACCUCUUUCAGCACCGACGAAGCGCAAGUGACGGUAGGUGCAGAAGAAGGACCGGCCAACUACGUGCCAGCCGCCGCCGUAAAAC
rnacentral:rRNA from 1 species